AACGAACGCUGGCGGCAUGCCUAACACAUGCAAGUCGAACGAGACCCUCGGGUUCGCCUGGUGGUCUAGUGGCGCACGGGUGAGUAGCGCGUGGGAACCUGCCCUGUUGUGGGGGAUAACCGGGGGAAACUCCGGCUAAUACCGCAUGCGCCCCGGGGUAACUCGGGGGAAAGAUUUAUCGCAGCAGGAGGGGCCCGCGUCGGAUUAGCUAGUUGGUGGGGUAACGGCCCACCAAGGCGAUGAUCCGUAGCUGGUCUGAGAGGAUGAUCA
rnacentral:rRNA from 1 species